rnacentral:rRNA from 1 species
UACGGAGGGGGCUAGCGUUGUUCGGAAUUACUGGGCGUAAAGCGCACGUAGGCGGCUUUGUAAGUUAGAGGUGAAAGCCCGGGGCUCAACUCCGGAAUUGCCUUUAAGACUGCAUCGCUAGAAUUGUGGAGAGGUAAGUGGAAUUCCGAGUGUAGAGGUGAAAUUCGUAGAUAUUCGGAAGAACACCAGUGGCGAAGGCGACUUACUGGACCAAUACUGA